GUACUUUGGAUUGCCACGGAU
rnacentral:piRNA from 1 species